AGCUACCGCUAUUGGAAUCCGAUUAAGCCAUGCGAGUCGAGAGAUUUCGGAUCUCGGCAGACGUCUCAGUAACACGUGGAUAAUCUACCCUUGAGUGGGGGAUAAGCUUGGAAACCUGAGUAUAAUACCCCAUAGGCCUAGGAUGCUGGAAUGCUUCUUGGCUGAAAGCUCCGGCGCUCGAGGAUGAAUCUGCGGCCUAUCAGGCUGUAGCGGGUGUAACGGACCCACUAACCUUCGACGGGUACGGGCCUUGAGAGAGGUUGCCCGGAGUUGGACUCUGAGACACGAGUCCAGGCCCUACGGGGUGCAGCAGGCGCGAAAACUUCACAAUGUGGGAAACCACGAUGAGGGGAUUCCAAGUGCCAGCACAAUGUGUUGGCUGUUCACUUGCCUAAAAAGCUGGUGAAGUAAGGGCCGGGUAAGACGGGUGCCAGCCGCCGCGGUAAUACCCGCGGCCCGAGUGGUGGCCAUUGUUAUUGAGCCUAAAGCGUUCGUAGCCGGUUUCGUAAAUUUCUGGGUAAAUCGGACAGCUUAACUGUCCGAAUUCCGGAAAGACUGCGAAACUUGGGACCGGAGGAGGUUGGAGGUACUCCUGGGGUAGGGGUGAAAUCCUGUAAUCCUGGGGGGACCACCAGUGGCGAAGGCGUCCAACCAAGACGGCUCCGACGGUAAGGGACGAAGCCCUGGGGCGCAAACGGGAUUAGAUACCCCGGUAGUCCAGGGUGUAAACGCUGCAGGCUUGGUGUUGGGGGUCCUACGAGGGCGCCCAGUGUCGGAGAGAAGUUGUUAAGCCUGCCGCUUGGGGAGUACGUCCGCAAGGACGAAACUUAAAGGAAUUGGCGGGGGAGCACAGCAACGGGUGGAGCGUGCGGUUC
rnacentral:rRNA from 1 species